rnacentral:snRNA from 1 species
GUGUUAGUUUGGUAGCACAUAUACUAAAAUUGGAACGAUACAGAGAUGAUUAGCAUUAGCACUGCGCAAGGAUGACACGCAAAUUCGUGAAGCGUUGCUCAUUUUA